ensembl:lncRNA
CAUAAUUUAGGUGCAUUAAGAACGUCAUUGUCCACUAAAUGAUCUUUGGGGAUUCUCUUUUAAGCUGAUCUGUUCUGCCUUCUGUUGCUUUACUCGUUUUCCUCUUCCAGCUUCCAUCCAGAGACCAGAACUCUUCACAUAGGAGUGUGGUCUCUCUCUGUGUCCGAGGCAACCUUUAAACCUCUCACAACAAAGCACACAAUUACAGUUAAAAUAAUGAAGAAAGAACAUUACUAGGAAAAAAUCACGUACAAGACAGACAUGCUAGGCAUCUUGGAGAAUGUGAGGUCUCCCUUUGUUGUCCAGGCUGGUCUUGAAUUCCUGGGUGAAGUGAUCGUCCUGCUGCAGCCUCCUGCAUCACUCCAGACCAACAUGAAUCAAAUCUAGCUCUUUAUAGAACCGGAAAGAAAUGUACUGAGGUGUCUGGCUAUGUAGCCAGGCUGACUGGAAGCUUGGAAUCUUGCUGCCCCAGCCUCCUGGGUGCUGGGAUUCCAAGCAUGUGUGAGCCAUCACAUCCCCCAUACAGCCAAGAUGCCAGGGCUUAUCUGAUCUAAAUCACUCCAGGUCUACAGCACUACUCUGCUUAACUGCAUUCUGGUUCCGCUCUUCCUAGCUUGUGCAUCAGGAUAAGGACCUAGAUGCCAGACUCUGAUACACUUUUGACCUUAUCCUGCCUAGCAUGAUCCUAUUAACAGUGGCUUGAACACCCUCACCAAACUCCCUAUAGCUGAGUUUCUUUCAAAGCAGUGACACCCCGAAACCUAAUCAAAAUGAUUGUCUUCCUCACAGAUCUGUAAGUAGGGCUCCAUGGGAGCAGAUCAUCUGUUUGUGAGGCUCCUCUUCCUUAACCCAGCUGGCUCAUGACACUCUUUCCCUUAGGUAGCCUGGAUUUCCUCCCAGGAUGGUAAGCAGGCUCCAAAAAUAAGCAUCCUUAGAGGUCACUGCCUUUCUUCAAUACAUGGUCCAGAAUUGCUACAUCUACACAAGCUUGAGGGAAAUAGGCACUCGUUGAAGGAAUGAGAUUAUUAGCAUCUGUCACUGUAACGAAACACCUGAGAUACCAGCUUCUAGGAGGAAGGGUAUUUUGACUCAUGGUUUCACAUACUGUGAUCCACAAUGCUUGGCCUGUUGCUUUGGAGCCAUGACAGAAGUACUUCACGGCAGGAAACACCUGACGAAGGAUGCUGCUCAUCUCAUGGAGGCUGGGAGAUGAAGGAAAAAAGAAGCCUGGAAUUCCAACAUUCCCUUCCAGGCGUGCUGCCAACAACCUAAUAGCACUACCUGGCCACACUUAGAGGCUCCACCACCUCCCGAGAGCACCACGGGCUAAGAACUAGCCUUCAACACUUGGACUUUUGAAGGUACUCAAGAUCCAGACUGUCCUGCAGGUGUUGAGUUUCUCAGGUCUGUUUUAAAUACGCUUUUAAUUGUGUAUAUAUGUGGGCAGAAGAGGACACUGGAUCCCCUGGAACUGGGGUUACAGGUAAUUAUGAGCUGGUUGUGUGGGCACAAAGAACCUAACUCCGGUCCUCUGCAAGACAAGUGAGCCCUCUCAACG